rnacentral:misc_RNA from 1 species
AAGACUAUAGACCUGCGGAGUACCUGCGGAAGGAUCAUUAUAGAGUUUUCUAAACUCCCAAACCCAUGUGAACUUACCAUUGUUGCCUCGGCAGAACCUACCCGGUACCUACCCUGGAACGAGCUACCCUGUAGCUACCCAGGAACGGGCUACCCUGUAACGUCCUGCCGGUGGACCUCUUAACUCUUGUUAUUUUUAUAGUAAUCUGAGCGUCUUAUUUUAAUAAGUCAAAACUUUUAA